rnacentral:rRNA from 1 species
AUACGUAGGUGGCAAGCGUUGUCCGGAUUUAUUGGGCGUAAAGCGAGCGCAGGCGGUUUUUUAAGUCUGAUGUGAAAGCCUUCGGCUCAACCGAAGAAGUGCAUCGGAAACUGGGAAACUUGAGUGCAGAAGAGGACAGUGGAACUCCAUGUGUAGCGGUUUUGAAAUGCGUAGAUAUAUGGAAGAACACCAGUGGCGAAGGCGGCUGUCUGGUCUGUAACUGACGCUGAGGCUCGAAAGUAUGGGUAGC